CCUACGGGGUGCAGCAGUGGGGAAUAUUGCACAAUGGGGGAAACCCUGAUGCAGCAACGCCGCGGGAAGGAAGACGGUUUGCGGAUUGUAAACUUCUGUUCUUAGUGAAGAAUAAUGACGGUAGCUAAGGAGCAAGCCACGGCUAACGACGUGCCAGAAGCCGCGGUAAUACGGAGGUGGCAAGCGUGGUCCGGAAUUAAUGGGUGUAAAGGGAGCGCAGGCGGGAAGCCAAGUCAGCUGUGAAGACUACAGGCUUAACUUGUAGACUGCAGGUGAAACUGGUUGUCUUGAGUGAAGUAGAGGUUGGCGGAAUUCCGAGUGUAGCGGUGAAAGGCGUAGAUAUUCGGAGGAAAACCGGUGGCGAAGGCGGCCAACUGGGCUUUAACUGACGCUGAGGCUCGAAAGUGUGGGGAGCAAACAGGAUUAGAUACCCUAGUAGUC
rnacentral:rRNA from 1 species